rnacentral:rRNA from 1 species
AGGGUUUGAUCCUGGCUCAGGAUGAACGCUAGCGGCAGGCUUAACACAUGCAAGUCGAGGGGUAAGGCUCUUUCGGGAGUACACGACCGGCGCACGGGUGAGUAACGCGUAUGCAACCUACCUUUAACUGGGGGAUAGCCCGAAGAAAUUCGGAUUAAUACCGCAUAACAUUAUGGAAUCACCUGGUUCUAUAAUUAAAACUCUGGUGGUUAAAGAUGGGCAUGCGUGACAUUAGCUAGAUGGUAAGGUAACGGCUUACCAUGGCUACGAUGUCUAGGGGGUCUGAGAGGAUGGUCCCCCACACUGGUACUGAGACACGGACCAGACUCCUACGGGAGGCAGCAGUGAGGAAUAUUGGGCAAUGGACGCAAGCCUGAACCAGCCAUGCCGCGUGUAGGAUGACUGCCCUAUGGGUUGUAAACUACUUUUAUAAAGGAAGAAACCCUACUACGUGUAGUAAUUUGACGGUAGUACAUGAAUAAGCAUCGGCUAACUCCGUGCCAGCAGCCGCGGUAAUACGGAGGAUGCGAGCGUUAUCCGGAUUCAUUGGGUUUAAAGGGUGCGUAGGCGGGCCUUUAAGUCAGUGGUGAAAUCCUGCGGCUCAACCGUAGAACUGCCAUUGAAACUGAGAAGCUUGAAUAUAGUUGAGGUAGGCGGAAUGAGUAGUGUAGCGGUGAAAUGCUUAGAUAUUACUCAGAACACCGAUUGCGUAGGCGGCUUAGUAAGCUAUAACUGACGCUGAUGCACGAAAGCGUGGGGAGCGAACAGGAUUAGAUACCCUGGUAGUCCACGCCGUAAACGAUGAUCACUCGUUGUUGGCGAUACACAGUCAGCGACUGAGCGAAAGCAUUAAGUGAUCCACCUGGGGAGUACGGUCGCAAGAUUGAAACUCAAAGGAAUUGACGGGGGCCCGCACAAGCGGACGAACAUGUGGUUUAAUUCGAUGAUACGCGAGGAACCUUACCUGGGCUUAAAUGUAGAGUGCAUAAGUCCGAAAGGUGGCUUUCCUUCGGGACGAACUACAAGGUGCUGCAUGGUUGUCGUCAGCUCGUGCCGUGAGGUGUCGGGUUAAGUCCCAUAACGAGCGCAACCCCUAUCGUUAGUUGCUAGCAGGUAAUGCUGAGGACUCUAACGAGACUGCCGGUGUAAACCGCGAGGAAGGUGGGGAUGACGUCAAAUCAGCACGGCCUUUAUGUCCAGGGCGACACACGUGUUACAAUGGCAGGGACAAAGGGCAGCUACACCGCGAGGGGAUGCUAAUCUCUAAAGCCUGUCUCAGUUCGGAUCGGAGUCUGCAACUCGACUCCGUGAAGUUGGAUUCGCUAGUAAUCGGAUAUCAGCCAUGAUCCGGUGAAUACGUUCCCGGGCCUUGUACACACCGCCCGUCAAACCAUGGAAGCUGGGGGGACCUGAAGUCUGUCACCGAAAGGAGCGGCCUAGGGUAAAACCGGUGACUGGGGCUAAGUCGUAACAAGGUAGCC